rnacentral:rRNA from 1 species
UCUACGGCCAUACCACCCUGAAUGCGCCCGAUCUCGUCUGAUCUCCAAAGCUAAGCAGGGUCGGGCCUGGUUAGUACUUGGAUGGAUUUGUCAAAGUGGUGCCAAAAGAG